AUCGUGGCCGUUCGUUCGGGCGCGGCGUUCCUGGUGAAGGAGAUUGGCGGACGCUGGCCCCGCCGCUACCGAAGCCGCGACUGCCCCCGCAACUGUAGCCGGCGAGCUUUCUUUCAACGAGCCACUGGUCGCGUGAUGCGACUGGGGGGGCGAAAGAAAAGCAGCGACCCGGACGUCAGGAGACCUGCCUGUUCCUGGCACCCAUG
rnacentral:ncRNA from 2 species